AUUUUCUGAUGUCAGGACACAUCUCACCGCCCUAAGACAUGAUGGGACAGCAGAUACGUGACAAGCCAGGAAGUAGGAUUGAAGCAUGGAGGAUAAGAGAAAACUGCAAAUGAGGUAAAUUUG